GCAAACUUGGUCAUUUAGAGGAAGUAAAAGUCGUAACAAGGUCUCCGUUGGUGAACCAGCGGAGGGAUCAUUAAAGAGUUUUUACAACUCCCAAACCCCUGUGAACGUACCUCUUGUUGCCUCGGCAGGCCUCGCCUACCCUGUAGCGCCCCUACUCUGUAGGGCCUACCCGGGGAGUGCGGGGGUCCCUGCCGGCGGCCCGCAAAACUCUGUUUAGCACUGAAUUUCUGAAUAUAUAACUAAAUAAGUUAAAACUUUCAACAACGGAUCUCUUGGUUCUGGCAUCGAUGAAGAACGCAGC
rnacentral:misc_RNA from 1 species